rnacentral:rRNA from 1 species
AGUAAAUUGGUUAAGUUAGAAAGGGCGCACGGUGGAUGCCUUGGCACUAGGAGCCGAAGAAGGACGGGACUAACACCGAUAUGCUUUGGGGAGCUGUACGUAAGCGUUGAUCCAGAGAUUUCCGAAUGGGGGAACCCACUAUCUUUAGUCGGAUAGUAUCCUUACGUGAAUACAUAGCGUGAGGAAGGCAGACCCAGGGAACUGAAACAUCUAAGUACCUGGAGGAAGAGAAAGAAAAAUCGAUUUCCUGAGUAGCGGCGAGCGAAACGGAAAGAGCCCAAACCAAGAAGCUUGCUUCUUGGGGUUGUAGGACACUCUAUACGGAGUUACAAAAGAAAGUUAUAAAUGAAGCGGUCUGGAAAGGCCCGCCAAAGACGGUAACAGCCCGGUAGUUGAAAUGGCUUUCCCUCCAGAGUGGAUCCUGAGUACGGCGGAACACGUGAAAUUCCGUCGGAAUCCGGGAGGACCAUCUCCCAAGGCUAAAUACUCCCUAGUGACCGAUAGUGAACCAGUACCGUGAGGGAAAGGUGAAAAGCACCCCGGAAGGGGAGUGAAACAGUUCCUGAAACCG